rnacentral:rRNA from 1 species
CCUGGCUCAGAAUGAACGCUGGCGGCAGGCCUAACACAUGCAAGUCGGACGGUAACAGAGAGAAGCUUGCUUCUCUGCUGACGAGUGGCGGACGGGUGAGUAAUGCUUAGGAAUCUACCCUUUAGUUGGGGACAACAUGUGGAAACGCAUGCUAAUACCGAAUAUGCUCUACGGUAAAGGUGCCCACUCCUUGGAAGGUAUCGCUAAAGGAUGAGCCUAAGUGAGAUUAGUUUGUUGGUGAGGUAACGGCUCACCAAGACUGCGAUCUCUAGCUGGUUUGAGAGGAUGAUCAGCCACACUGGGACUGA